GGAGGUGAGUUCGCAGCCGGAACGUUGCAGGCACUUGUUUCCUCAGUGGAUGCCUUUCGGCGCGCCGCCGCCCGGCGCCGCGGGACUGGGAGACCGGAUGGUGGAAUUCUGGAAACAUUCUGUGUUGAAG
rnacentral:lncRNA from 1 species